UGGGGAAUAUUGGACAAUGGGCGGAAGCCUGAUCCAGCAACGCCGCGUGAGGGAUGACGGCCUUCGGGUUGUAAACCUCUUUCAGCACAGACGAAGCGCAAGUGACGGUAUGUGCAGAAGAAGGACCGGCCAACUACGUGCCAGCAGCCGCGGUAAUACGUAGGGUCCGAGCGUUGUCCGGAAUUAUUGGGCGUAAAGGGCUCGUAGGCGGUUUGUCGCGUCGGGAGUGAAAACACCGGGCUUAACUCGGUGCUUGCUUUCGAUACGGGCAGACUAGAGGCAUUCAGGGGAGAACGGAAUUCCUGGUGUAGCGGUGAAAUGCGCAGAUAUCAGGAGGAACACCGGUGGCGAAGGCGGUUCUCUGGGAAUGUCCUGACGCUGAGGAGCGAAAGUGUGGGGAGCGAACA
rnacentral:rRNA from 1 species